AUGUAUGGUCAGCCCAGUACGGGAGCCCCGGUAAAUCUAAACUUACCGGGGCUCCCGUACUGGGCUGACCAUCUCA
rnacentral:antisense_RNA from 1 species